rnacentral:tRNA from 1 species
GGGCCCUUAGCUCAGAUGGGAGAGCGCUAGCCUUGCAAGCUUGAGGUCACCGGUUCGAUCCCGGUAGGGUCCACCA